rnacentral:lncRNA from 1 species
GUAUCAUUCUGCUCUAUCCCACAGGCACAAUCUGCUUCCCACACCUCUCUAAGAUGGUCCAUAUGUUUGCAAUGCACAACUGAGAAAAUAUCUUUUGUUAGCCCAAGUGCCCUAAAUUUUGGUCCAGAAAAAAAGAAAAGGUAGCUGUAUAAGUAGACCACAGCUUUUGAAAGCCAUGGUGCUAAAUCACAUUAAUAUGGACCCCAUUAAUCUGAAGUAGGUGCUAAUCUCGUAGGCCUAGAGGGAGGCUUAGCUUUGAAGAAAGAGUUUGCUUUCUAAGCAAAGAAGGAUGCAAACAAGCCACAAUCUCUGCCAAUCCUGGUGGUCACCUCCGCCCCAUCGUCCUGCUUUCCUGCACACUGUCUCUGUCCCUCACUGCAUGGUCUCAGAUGGGACACCCAGCCCUGUCUUCAACAAAGGCACAUGAAUGCGGCAACUCCUCAAUGAAAGGCGUCCAUCCAGGACUGGAGCAGCAGUCCAGUAAGUGGAAAGCCUGUACAGCUGGAUCCAACCUGAGCACUGCCUACAGGCAGGAGGAAGAGACGGUGCUGGAGAACUUCCUCCAAAGCAAAACACAGCUUCCCACUCAGCAUCAGGUGCCAUGGCCUCUAAACAUCCUCAGCUCAUGCCUCCGGGUGCCCCUCGCCCCCGUCGACUCUAUCUUUGCA